UUGGAGGGCAAGUCUGGUGCCAGCAGCCGCGGUAAUUCCAGCUCCAAUAGCGUAUAUUAAAGUUGUUGCAGUUAAAAAGCUCGUAGUUGAAUUUCGGGAUUGACGUGAUGGUCGUGCCUUACGGGGUAUGAACUGUUGCAGUCAAUUUCUCACCUUCUGGAGAAAUAUGAUGUCCUUAAUUGGGUGUCAUAUGGAACCAAAACUUUUACCUUGAAAAAAUUAGGGUGUUUAAAGCAGGCUUAUUGCUCGAAUACAUUAGCAUGGAAUAAUAAAAUAGGACGGCAUGGUUCUAUUUUGUUGGUUUCUAGGAUCACCGUAAUGAUUAAUAGGGAUAGUUGGGGGCAUUAGUAUUCAAUUGUCAGAGGUGAAAUUCUUGGUUUUAUUGAAGACUAACUACUGCGAAAGCAUUUGCCAAGGAUGUUUUCAUCAAUCAAGAACGAAAGUUAGGGGAUCGAAGACGAUCAGAUACCGUAGUAGUCUUAACCAUAAACUAUGCCGACUAGGAAUCAGACGAUGUUAAUUUUUUAAUGACUCGUUUGGCACCUUACGGGAAACCAAAGUGUUUGGGUUC
rnacentral:rRNA from 1 species